CAAUAGCGUAUAUUAAAGUUGUUGCAGUUAAAAAGCUCGUAGUUGGAUUUGUGGCUGUCGUGUGCGGCCCGGCACUUGUGCCGGUGUUUGCUCGUGUCGCCAUCCUUGGGUGGAUCCUGUGUGGCAUUAGGUUGUCGUGCAGGGGAUUCCCAUCGUUUACUGUGAAAAAAUUAGAGUGUUCAAAGCAGGCUUAUGCCGUUGAAUAUAUUAGCAUGGAAUAAUAAGAUAGGACCUUGGUACUAUUUUGUUGGUUUGCGCACUGAGGUAAUGAUUAAUAGGGACAGUUGGGGGUAUUCGUAUUCCAUUGUCAGAGGUGAAAUUCUUGGAUUUUUGGAAGACGAACUACUGCGAAAGCAUUUACCAAGGAUGUUUUCAUUAA
rnacentral:rRNA from 1 species